rnacentral:rRNA from 1 species
AUACGGAGGAUCCAAGCGUUAUCCGGAAUCAUUGGGUUUAAAGGGUCCGUAGGUGGACAGAUAAGUCAGAGGUGAAAUCCUGCAGCUCAACUGUAGAAUUGCCUUUGAAACUGUUUGUCUUGAGUCAUUGUGAAGUGGUUAGAAUGUGUAGUGUAGCGGUGAAAUGCAUAGAUAUUACACAGAAUACCGAUUGCGAAGGCAGAUCACUAAUAAUGUACUGACACUGAUGGACGAAAGCGUGGGUAGCGAACAGAAUUAGAAACCCUAGUAGUCC